GAAAUGCAAUAAAUAGUAUAAAUUACAGAAUUUAGUAAAUUAUUAAAUCUUUAAACGCAUAUUACGCCCCUUAGUAUUUUGUAGGGUAUGCCUAUUUAAGCGUUAUCUACACCCUUAAGCUCUAUUUAGUAUUAGGCGUCUGUCCCGCCUUUACGCGUAGACUUGCCCUAAAUAUAUUAGUAGUGGUCUUUAUUCUCUCCCGCGUAGUAUAUUGCGCUUCUCGAGGCUGCAGCGGCCUAUGUCUAAUAAGCUAAACCCCCCUGUCUUUAACCUUAGAUUAGGUAGGGAUACCCGCUGAACUUAAGC
rnacentral:misc_RNA from 1 species